GAGCCAGUGGCGUAAUGGAUAACGUGUCUGACUUCGGAUCAGAAGAUUGCAGGUUCGAGUCCUGCCUGGCUUG